AGAGAAUACAUCGAAAUGAGAAGAUCCUGCCAUGGAAAAGACGACUGGGCGGACAUAAAGUGGAAAGGAGGGGAAAUAACUCACACCUUCAGCUGUGGGGUCUUUGUAAUGCAGGAAGUUGCACAGAAAUUCCCCAACAUCCCUUCCCAAAUUGAUAUGGAACCUUCAAAAACACAUGGAGCAACUGCAAAAAGAAAUGGCUGAGGAUAUACUAAAUAUGUCUGGGUCUUCACAAAAAUGUACCUAAAUCAAUUUUGGAAAAAGGAUUUUACUCACAAAAGACACAGGACAUUCUCUUCGUUAUUUAUCUUCAUAUGACAAAGAAUAAAAAGAAUUUGCCAAUA